GACGUAGGGCGCGAGCGUUGUCCGGAUUUAUUGGGCGUAAAGAGCUCGUAGGCGGCUUGUUGCGUCGGCUGUGAAAUCCCGUGGCUUAACUGCGGGCUUGCAGCUGAUACGGGCGGGCUGGAGUUCGGUAGGGGAGACUGGAAUUCCUGGUGUAGCGGUGAAAUGCGCAGAUAUCAGGAGGAACACCGGUGGCGAAGGCGGCAUUCUGGACCGAUAAUUGACGCUGGAGGAGCGGAAAGCCCAGGGGAGCAAACGGG
rnacentral:rRNA from 1 species